AUCUGCCAAGGCUAAAUACUCCCUGGCGACCGAUAGUGAAGCAGUACCGUGAGGGAAAGGUGAAAAGCACCCCGGAAGGGGAGUGAAAUAGAUCCUGAAACCGUGUGCUUACAAGAAGUCAGAGCCCAUUUUAGGGGUGAUGGCGUGCCUUUUGUAGAAUGAACCGGCGAGUUACGUUCCCGUGCAAGGUUAAGGUGAAGAGCUGAAGCCGCAGCGAAAGCGAGUCUGAAUAGGGCGA
rnacentral:rRNA from 1 species